rnacentral:snoRNA from 1 species
AAGACUAUACUUUCAGCGAUCAUUUCUGUAGUUUGUUACUAGAGAAGUUUCUCUGAACGUGUAGAAGACCCACAGAGCAUAACUCCUAUCUGU